GAUGAACGCUGGCGGCGUGCUUAACACAUGCAAGUCGAACGGAAAGGCCCAAGCUUGCUUGGGUACUCGAGUGGCGAACGGGUGAGUAACACGUGGGUGAUCUGCCCUGCACUUCGGGAUAAGCCUGGGAAACUGGGUCUAAUACCGGAUAGGACCACAUUUUGGAUGGUGUGGUGGAAAGUUUUUCGGCGUGGGAUGAGGUCGCGGCCUAUCAGCUUGUUGGUGGGGUAAUGGCCUACCAAGGCGUCGACGGGUAGCCGGCCUGAGAGGGUGUACGGCCACAUUGGGUCUGAGAUACGGCCCAGACUCCUACGGGAGGCAGCAGUGGGGAAUAUUGCACAAUGGGCGCAAGCCUGAUGCAGCGACGCCGCGUGGGGGAUGACGGCCUUCGGGUUGUAAACUCCUUUCGCUAGGGACGAAGCGCAAGUGACGGUACCUGGAGAAGAAGCACCGGCUAACUACGUG
rnacentral:rRNA from 1 species